AUGGGGUUAAGUCGCAGGGCAGCCGCAGCAGCCCGCGCGUGGGCCUGUCGCCCGAUCUCGCUCCUGUCCCGUGCGCGCGCACGGACCGCCUGCAUCCCCGCGCGCGCGUCCAUCCCUUGCACGUACACGGCUCCUUCUCCGGCCAGCGAGGCUCCAGCGGUCGACCGGGCGAGCUCCUGCUCCCCGAGCGUCGCGUCCGUCGGCCCGUCGGGUUGCUGCCGCGCCGUAAUGCGGGAAUCGUCGGUGGCGAUGGCCGGGCUGGGCCGAAGCUUUGGCAAUUAUUCCAUGGGCGUACGUAGUACGUUGCCCCGGCUCGCUCGGUGCGCGCUACUGUUGGGCGCCACUGUUGCACCUCGCCUCCUUCCGUUUUUUGGCACGCUUCGCUGGUGGUGCUACAGUGGGGCAGUACCGGCCGCGCUCAUAUGCAUUCAAACCAAAGGAGCUUUUUUACUAGGUAUAUAG
rnacentral:rRNA from 1 species